UCUAAUUUAGUAGUAAUAAAUUUAUUUCUUCCUUUUUAAAAUCCUACUUUUCUCAGCCACCCUUCCUGCCUGCCUCACGACGGUUUCUUCUUCUCCGUGUUCCUCUCCCCAUCACGAGUCACGACUAUUCAAGGUUUAUCAUAACAAAUCUGAGAAUAGUCGAGGAAAAAUAAACACCAAUUUUCUAAUGGCCUCUAGGGUUUCACUAAAGAGCAAAGCCAAAGGAGGGAAGGGAUCCAAAGGCUUGGAUGAGAAAUCAACUGCACAGUGCUUGAAAGAGUGGAGCACAUGGGCUCUGAAGAAGGCCAAAGUGGUAACUCACUAUGGCUUCAUUCCUCUGGUGAUCAUCAUUGGCAUGAACUCUGAUCCCAAGCCCCAACUUUAUCAACUGCUAAGCCCUGUCUGAUUCAUUUGUCUCUUUUGUAACCACCCAGAUCUUAGUUUUGCACUUUUAUGUAAUGGAUUGGUGCCUAUCCAUCCAAACUACAUGAAGACUGGGCAAGUGAGGGGCUUUGUUAGUUUAGUAUUAAACGGUGAACUUUGAGGACUCAACUUCUGUUACAGAUUAUCAGUUAACAUGUCUCUUCCUUUUGAUUUGUGUAACAAUCGAAUAACUUGGUUCCUUUAAUGGAGGUGGAGGUGAGUUAGCAACAGGGUUUUGAUCUGAUCAGAGGUGAGAUAGCUGUCUUGUUAUGCUCCAAAACAGUGUAGCUGCCAGAAGAUCUCUCUUUGUUUUAUAUGCUUACUAUGAUGAGAAUAUGGGUUUGGCAUGCAGCAGAGGCAGUUCCUACGAAUUUCCAUACAAUGAUGCUUUUAUAUGGAUGAAGUGAAACUGGUUUUCUCUUAAUCUACCGAGACUGUUAUUUACAAGAUAUUGGACCUUUUAUUUUUCGGAAAAGGUUUAAAAAUUGACAGUUUACUCCCUCUAUGGUUAUUUCUGAGUAUUAAUUCUCAUCAAAUUAACAUAUCAUUAUU